GUAUUCAAAACAAAAAGUAGAAAAAGAGGAGGCUAGGUUAAAAAGUGAUGCCAGCCAGAAAUUAGGGUUUUACGUACGUCGAUGUUUCUCUUUGCCCUCUUCUUCGCCCUAACCUCGCAAAAGAACUCCCGGGCGCCGGCUCGUCUCUCACUUUCCCUCUUCCAAACCAAAGAAAUUUUCCAGCCACCGGAAGAUCCGCCGCCGUCCGACACCAUGUCGUACAGGUUCGCCCACCACAGGAGAAACUUCGAAUUAGCUACUACUUGAUUUGGCUUGGGAGGUAUUGGAAAAAAAAGAUAGCUUAGAUGGCCCCAAAGCAGAGUAGAGACAAAGCACCUGCUGUUGGCCCUACUAAUAUGGUCAACGGAAGGUGUUACUUCAGCCACUUUGUCAAUUUUAUGGUCACCUUAAUCCGGUCUACGUAUCGUGAUCAGAAAGAAAGGAUUAGUGGUACUCCUUUUGAGCAUAUGCUAGGUCUACCAUAUAUAAAACAAAGUAGGCCUGUGUUGGACACAUUGCUCUCCUUUUGGGAUGAUGUUGAGAAGGAUUUUUGGUUUGGUAGAGUUCUAGUGCCUUUUAUAGGGAUUGAUUUGGCACUGAUCCUUGGUUUGAGUGCGUCGGGUGAUGGGGUCGAAUUGCAUAGAAAGGGGAGGGUUACGUCUGACCUCAUCAUCCGAUUUUUUGAGGGUGACCACAAAAAGGCCGAUAGAGAUGUAGUUAAAAAUAGAUUGCAAUUCCUUGUUGGUAAGUCUGGAUGACAAGAUGUAGAGGAUUUCAUGAAAUUAUGGGUUCUAUAUCUCUUUGGGACUAUCCUCUUUCCAACCGUACAAUACUAUGUUCCUAAGGCAUUAUGUUCAUAUUUUGAUGAUUUAGACUGCUUAGGUUCAUAUAGUUGGAGUUUUGUCGUUUUCUCUUUUCUUCGCCAGCAGAUAUCUAGUCUAGCCGACUGUUUGAGGACAAGAAACAUCACCGGCGAAAGAUAAGAUCUGAUAGAUAUAUGGAUGACUGCACGGUCGCUCUGGUGGUAUGGGCUGUUAAGCAUGCGAAUAGUAUUGUUGGAAGCCACCGGCCACCGUUUAUGUAUCCACGUCUCCUACGUUGGAACAAUACCCCAUUCCCUCGCAAGGUGGAUGUGAUUGCCGAUGUUACGAAGAACUUAAAACGAUUUGAGGUGAUCGAGAAGCUACAACCUAGAAAGGAGGAGUUGCACCUUCUCUCGCAAGGAAGGCUACAACUAGUUCGUCCGAUAGAGAAGAGUUAAAGAACUGCAAAAAGGUAUGCAUGUUGGAACUCAGGUUCCGUCAUCCAGCUAUAGUGAUCGACAUCCAAUGGAAAGCGUACAGACACGUAUCACAGUGCUUGAGAGGUGUUUGAUAGAACAUGACUUUAGUUUACCAGACCCUCAAACUUUUGGGGAUGUCGAAGGGAAGGACGAUAGUUGCAUAGAACUGAUCAAUAAAAGGGUGUCGCGAAUAGAGAAGGUCCUACGAGAUAAAAGCCUUCUGGUGGAUGACAAACCUAGUGAGCAUGCUACAGUUUCCGUUGAGGUGAAGGAGCAUACUGCAGCUGGUGAAGCUAUGGACCAAGCUGCUGUUGAGAAAGAUGAUAUGCAGCAUAGUGCAGAUUCAGUAGAGGUUAUUUGGUCUACUGAUGCUGAGGCCAAGAAGGAACAUGGAGCUCUGACCAAAUAUGUUUCCUCCGUAUGCAAGCGCGUCAAGUUGGGAGCAUGCAAGCGGAAGGCAACAGAAAAAGCUAGGGCCAUAUCAGAGCUUCCAAAGGCUUAUUGGCAAAAUAGGUGAAGGUAGUAUGACAAUUACCAUUAAAAAGGAGGAUUUGCCCGCUCGGUCAAGUAACUUAUUGGAGCCUAUCACUAUUGCAUUAAUGGAGCUCCACAAGUCAAUUCCAGCAAGGGAGGAAACAUCCUCCUGAGAGCGGCAUCUUUUGUGCGAUCAUGGCUAAACGACUGCGUCGGAUACCAUAUCCUUGAAUUAACCUAUUAUGAAAUUUGAGAAUGCGCACAACAAAAGCUCGAUAGUGUCGAUUGCGGGGCAUACGUGCUUAUGUUUGCAGAGGCAUUGACGCGAGGCACCUCGAGACCAUUGCAGGAACAAUUCAAGGAUCCUUUUUUAUACAAGAGUUGGUUUGUAGGGACUAUUCUGUUAAAUUUCCGCUGCAUUGCAUUUGAUAGGUUUUGGUCAAUGUACGGACUGAAGUCAAGUAGAAAGAGAGGUUAGACUAUAUGUUGUAAAAGAUGAUUGUAAGAUGAGUGCAUUUUCAUUUUUUAUGUAAUAUAACAUUUUAACAGAAAAGAUGAUUAUGUUAAUUAUGUUCA